rnacentral:rRNA from 1 species
CACGUAGGGCGCAAGCGUUAUCCGGAAUGAUUGGGCGUAAAGCGUCCGCAGGUGGCGAUGUAAGUCUGCUGUUAAAGAGUGAGGCUCAACCUCAUAAGAGCAGUGGAAACUACAUAGCUAGAGUGCGGUAGGGGCAGAGGGAAUUCCUGGUGUAGCGGUGAAAUGCGUAGAUAUCAAGAGGAACACCUGAGGUGAAGACGGGUUGCUGGGCUGACACUGACGCUGAGGCGCGAAAGCCAGGGGAGCAAAC